rnacentral:rRNA from 1 species
GACGAACGCUGGCGGCGUGCUUAACACAUGCGAGUCGAACGCUGAAGCUCAGCUUUUGUUGGGUGGAUGGGUGGCGAACGGGUGAGUAACACGUGAGUAACCUGCCCCCUUCUUUGGGAUAACGCCCGGAAACGGGUGCUAAUACUGGAUAUUCACUGGUCUUCGCAUGGGGGUUGGUGGAAAGGGUUUUUCUGGUGGGGGAUGGGCUCGCGGCCUAUCAGCUUGUUGGUGGGGUGAUGGCCUACCAAGGCUUUGACGGGUAGCCGGCCUGAGAGGGUGACCGGUCACAUUGGGACUGAGAUACGGCCCAGACUCCUACGGGGGGCAGCAGUGGGGAAUAUUGCACAAUGGGCGCAAGCCUGAUGCAGCGACGCCGCGUGAGGGAUGGAGGCCUUCGGGUUGUGAACCUCUUUCGCUCAUGGUCAAGCCGCAACAAUGGUUGUGGUGAGGGUAGUGGGUAAAGAAGCGCCGGCUAACUACGUG